rnacentral:rRNA from 1 species
AUUGACCGCUGGCGGCAGGCCUAUCACAUGCAAGUCGAACGAGUGGAGGACGGGUGAGUACUGUCUGGGAAACUGCCCGAUGGAGGGUGAUAACUACUGUCAACGGUAGCUAAUCCCGCAUACCAUCGGAUGUGCCAAGAUGGGAUUAGAUAGUAGGUGGGGUAACGGAUCACCUAGGCGACGCUCCCUAGCUGGUCUGCGAGGAUGACCAGCAACACGUGGACGGAGACACGGUCCAGACUCCUACGUAGGGCAGCAGUGGGGAAUAUGGCACAAGGGGCGCAAGACUGAUGCAGCCAUGCCGCGUGUAUGAAGAAGGCCUUCGGGUUGUAAAGUACUUUCAGCGAGGAGGCGUUACUCGCAGAAGAAGCACCGGCUAACACCGUGCCAGCAGCCGCGGUAAUAC